rnacentral:rRNA from 1 species
GAUGAACGCUGGCGGCGUGCUUAACACAUGCAAGUCGAACGAGAAGUGAAGACGGAAACCUUCUGGCGGAAGGCUUUAUUUCGAGUGGCGGACGGGUGAGUAACGCGUGGGUAACCUGCCUCAUACAGGGGGAUAACAGUUGGAAACGACUGUUAAUACCGCAUAAGACCACAGCACCGCAUGGUGCGGGGGUAAAAACUCCGGUGGUAUGGGAUGGACCCGCGUUCGAUUAGCCAGUUGGCGGGGUAACGGCCCACCAAAGCGACGAUCGAUAGCCGAUCUGAGAGGAUGACCGGCCACAUUGGGACUGAGACACGGCCCAAACUCCUACGGGAGGCAGCAGUGGGGAAUAUUGCACAAUGGGGGAAACCCUGAUGCAGCGACGCCGCGUGAGUGAAGAAGUAUUUCGGUAUGUAAAGCUCUAUCAGCAGGGAAGAAAAUGACGGUACCUGAGUAAGAAGCCCCGGCUAACUACGUG